AAAUUUGUAGUAUAAACUAUUACACUUAUUUUGAAAAUAAAAAAUAUCCAGGUCAAAUUUA
rnacentral:tRNA from 1 species